rnacentral:lncRNA from 1 species
CAUGGAGCCUGGUGAGGUGGCCUGAGUCACUGAAGGUCACCCGGCUCCUUGUGGGAGGAGAGAGUGAGACUCAGCGUGUGUCCACUCCAGAGGGAUUUUCUUGACUCUUUCACCCUCCUGGGGGGACUCGCGCUGCUGUCGGUGGAGAUCGUCACUGUCUGUCUACCGCGUGAGCUGCGGGAUCCACUGCCCCGCGGAGCUUGGGAACUUGACAGGGCUCUGAGAAGUCCUCCAAUGAAGAUACACAAAGACCAGUAAAAUGAAGAUACACAAAGACAAGUAAACUGAAGACUGAGGAAUUCAAGAACCACCUAAGGAAAGGGGCUCCUCAUGAUACCAAGUGGCUGCCACAACUCUUGCCUAAGAUGCUUUCAGGAACAAGAGGGAUUCACGUCUGGGACAGACAGGAGAAGAGCUCCUGGGAUUUGCAGAAGAAAGAGGCCUGGGGACAAGUAGAUGUCAUCACUGGGGCCUCAGGAAGACCUUAUCGGGCCUGUAGACUCUUCAUUUGGAGCCUUGGUCUUAGCAGUGUUGAUUUCUGGCCCUUGGCGGAUGGCUACUAUACCUGGGAGUUACUUGCCUCUGUAAGUAACUCCGAAGGCCACUUCGCCUUAGGAUGGCAGAAAUGGGAGGCAGCUUGAGAAGUUCUCAAAUAAACUCAGCGACUUAAGAGAUGAAAAAUGAGUC